AUACGUAGGGAGCGAGCGUUGUCCGGAAUUACUGGGUGUAAAGGGUGCGUAGGCGGGACUGCAAGUCAGAUGUGAAAUGCCGGGGCUCAACCCCGGAGCUGCAUUUGAAACUGUGGUUCUUGAGUGCGGUAGAGGUAAGCGGAAUUCCUAGUGUAGCGGUGAAAUGCGUAGAUAUUAGGAGGAACAUCGGUGGCGAAGGCGGCUUACUGGGCCUUUACUGACGCUGAGGCACGAAAGCGUGGGGAGCAAACAGGAUUAGAUACCCUGGUAGUCCACGCUGUAAACGAUGAUGACUAGGUGUGGGGGGACUGAACCCUUCCGUGCCGCAGUUAACACAAUAAGUCAUCCACCUGGGGAGUACGGCCGCAAGGUUGAAACUCAAAUGAAUUGACGGGG
rnacentral:rRNA from 1 species